rnacentral:lncRNA from 1 species
AACACAACCACAAUAGAAAUUCAAGAAAACCACCAUAACCUUCUUUUAACAUUCUCUUAUAAAAAUAAAAAUUUUUAAAAAAAAUUAUUACAUCCACAAACCAUGGUAGAUGAAGUUGAGGUAAUGUCAAUGUUAUCACUUUCUUGCAUAUUGCCAUACCAACCAUCCAACCAACCUACUAACAUUCUUUCAAACCAAGUCUCAAUUCUAUUGCAUUUAAAAAUAAACUCCAUCCAAUUGAUAGUCUACCAAUGAUACACAUGUCUAGCUCAAAUAGUUGGUAAAUUCUAUAUGAACACAAUGAUAGUACCAAUAAAGACAACCAAGAAUAACAACCUUUUUCCUCCUUUAAGCUUCUUACCUUUGAAUUGUGACCAAAAAUACCUCGGAUUCACCACCAAACAACUACAUCUCUAUCCUCGCUUCUUCUUUCUCACACAUAGAUACACUCUCUUUCUCACACAUUCAUACACACACACUCUCACACGUACAUACUCUCUCUCUCUUUCUCUCUCUCUCACACACACACACACAUACACAUUCAUUUGACCUCAAAACUAGAUAGAAAAAAUAUAGGGUCUAUUGAAGGGACAACAAAGACAUAAAUGGAUAACGAGAGCAGGUGAACAACUAGCUUAUUUAUUCAUAAUAGUUACUAAUGAUGCAUGUGUGAAUUAAAUUAAUAAUAAUAAUAAUAAUAAUAAAGGAUACAAAAUAGAAAAUAAUAUGAUUUAAUCUAUGAAAAAUUCAAACCUUAGAGUAAGAAGACAAGAUAAAAUUAGGAGCCAAACACAAAAUAAGACAAGAACGCAAUGACAAGAGCAGUAGCAGCUCCACUAUUACAUGAUGUAGAUUCUUUCAUAAAUUCAAGAAGAAUACUAUAACCAUGUCUUGAC